rnacentral:rRNA from 1 species
GGUGUUGCAUGGCUGUCGUCAGCUCGUGUCGUGAGAUGUUGGGUUAAGUCCCGCAACGAGCGCAACCCUCAUCCUUAGUUACCAUCAGGUAAUGCUGGGGACUUUAAGGAAACUGCCAGUGAUAAACUGGAGGAAGGUGGGGAUGAUGUCAAGUCAUCAUGGCCCUUAUGGAGUGGGCAACACACGUGCUACAAUGGUGGCUACAAUGGGCUGCAAAGUCGCGAGGCUAAGCUAAUCCCUUAAAAGCCAUCUCAGUUCGGAUUGUACUCUGCAACUCGAGUGCAUGAGGUUGGAAUCGCUAGUAAUCGUGGAUCAGCACGCCACGGUGAAUACGUUCCCGGGUCUUGUACACAC